UACGUAGGGGGCGAGCGUUGUCCGGAUUUAUUGGGCGUAAAACGCUUGUAGGCGGCCACGCCAAGUCGGAUGUGAAAUCUCCCGGCUUAACUGGGCGGGGUCCAUGGAAACUGGUCACCUGGAGGUCGGUAGAGGCAAGUGGAAUUCCCGGUGUAGUGGUGAAAUGCGUAGAGAUCGGGAGGAACACCAGUGGCGAAGGCGGCUGCGUGGGCC
rnacentral:rRNA from 1 species